rnacentral:rRNA from 1 species
AUUGAACGCUGGCGGCAGGCUUAACACAUGCAAGUCGAGCGGAGCGAGGGUGCUUGCACCUUAGCUUAGCGGCGGACGGGUGAGUAAUGCUUAGGAAUCUGCCUAUUAGUGGGGGACAACAUUCCGAAAGGGAUGCUAAUACCGCAUACGCCCUACGGGGGAAAGCAGGGGAUCACUUGUGACCUUGCGCUAAUAGAUGAGCCUAAGUCGGAUUAGCUAGUUGGUGGGGUAAAGGCCUACCAAGGCGACGAUCUGUAGCGGGUCUGAGAGGAUGAUCCGCCACACUGGGACUGAGACACGGCCCAGACUCCUACGGGAGGCAGCAGUGGGGAAUAUUGGACAAUGGGGGGAACCCUGAUCCAGCCAUGCCGCGUGUGUGAAGAAGGCCUUUUGGUUGUAAAGCACUUUAAGCGAGGAGGAGGCGCUCUAGGAUAAUACCCUAGAUG